GGCCGGGCCCGGUGCACGGGGGGUCUUGUGAAUCGGGUCAGGCCUUGACCGGAGCAGCCCUAAGCAACGGCUUCCCGGUGCCGUCGGUGUCCUGGCCGUC
rnacentral:SRP_RNA from 1 species